rnacentral:rRNA from 1 species
GAUCAUAACUCAGGAUGAACGCUAGCGGCAGGCCUAACACAUGCAAGUCGAGGGGCAUCACGAGGUAGCAAUACUUUGGUGGCGACCGGCGCACGGGUGCGUAACGCGUAUGUAACCUACCUAUAACAGGGGCAUAACACUGAGAAAUUGGUACUAAUUCCCCAUAAUAUUCGGAGAGGCAUCUCUCCGGGUUGAAAACUCCGGUGGUUAUAGAUGGACAUGCGUUGUAUUAGCUAGUUGGUGAGG